rnacentral:rRNA from 1 species
AUUGAACGCUGGCGGCAGGCUUAACACAUGCAAGUCGAACGAGUGGCGGACGGGUGAGUAAUGUAUGGGAAACUACCUUAUGGAGGGGGAUAACUACGGGAAACGGUAGCUAAUACCGCGUACCAUAGGAUGAGCCCAAGUGGGAUUAGCUAGUUGGUGGGGUAAAGGCUCACCAAGUCGACGAUCCCUAGCUGGUCUGAGAGGAUGACCAGCCACACUGGAACUGAGACACGGUCCAGACUCCUACGGGAGGCAGCAGUGGGGAAUAUUGCACAAUGGGCGCAAGCCUGAUGCAGCCAUGCCGCGUGUAUGAAGAAGGCCUUAGGGUUGUAAAGUACUUUCAGCGGGGAGGCGUUACCCGCAGAAGAAGCACCGGCUAACUCCGUGCCAGCAGCCGCGGUAAUAC